AACGCACAUUGCGCCCUUUGGUAUUCCAAAGGGCAUGCCUGUUCGAGCGUCAUUUGUACCCUCAAGCUUUGCUUGGUGUUGGGCGUCUUUUUGUCCCCCCCCCCUUGCGGGGAGACUCGCCUUAAAGUCAUUGGCAGCCGGCCUACUGGUUUCGGAGCGCAGCACAAGUCGCGCUCUCUUCCAGCCCCAAGGUCUAGCAUCCAACAAGCCUUUUUUUUCAACUUUUGACCUCGGAUCAGGUAGGGAUACCCGCUGAACUUAA
rnacentral:misc_RNA from 1 species